rnacentral:rRNA from 1 species
UCCGGUGACCAUGGCGGCAGGGUCACACCCGUUCCCAUUCCGAACACGGAAGUUAAGACUGCCAGCGCCGAUGGUACUUGGUGGGCAACUGCCUGGGAGAGUAGGGCGUCGCCGGGA